rnacentral:tmRNA from 1 species
GGGGGCGAGUCAGGCUCGACAGGGGGUACGGGGAGCGGAGAUAAGCGGGCCGAGGUCCCACCUGCUCGCUAAACGGUGGACUCAAAGACAACUGCCGACAACGAACCGGCACUCGCGGCUGCUGCUUAAGUAGGCCGUGCGCUUGACGGGCCUCGCCUGCCGGGACCCGUCGGGUGUCAAAGAAGGCAGGCUACCUGACCCUCUCCUCCCGAGGAGGGCCGGGGAAACCUGACGGGAUAGCCCCGCCGGCAUCCUGCCUGUGGGAAGGUCGCGGGGCGAACCCCGAACACAGGCUACGCCCGUAGAAACUCCUCUCGUUGUCCUUCUGGACCAGGGGUGCGACUCCCCUGCGCCUCCACCA